rnacentral:rRNA from 1 species
GCGGGGGUAGAGCACUGACUGGUCUAGGGCCCCUGCCGGGGUACCGAAGCCUGUCAAACUCCGAAUACCGCGCACGUCAGUCGGGGAGUGAGACUGUGGGGGCUAAGCUUCACAGUCGAAAGGGAAACAGCCCAGACCGCCGAAAAAGGCCCCAAAACGACGCUAAGUCACUAAGGAUGUGGGGUUUCGAAGACAGCCAGGAUGUUGGCUUAGAGGCAGCCACCAUUUAAACAGUGCGUAACAGCUGACUGGUCGAGAGAUCCCGCGCCGAAAAUGAUCGGGAGUCAAGCGUCGUGCCGAAUUCGCGGAUCGAGAGAUGGUAGAGGAGCGUAGAACGACGGGACGAAGCGGUGCGCGGAAGCGGCCGUGGACUUCGUUCUAGUGAUUAUGCGGACAUGAGUAACGAAAAAUAGGGUGAGAAUCCCUAUCGCCGGAAUCCCAAGGUUUCCCGGGGCAGGUUCGUCCGCCCGGGGUUAGUCGGAACCUAAGGAGAGGCCGACAGGCGUAUCCGAUGGACAGAGGGUUAAUAUUCCCUCACUUCCGGUGAGAGUUUGACCGAUGGGGAGCGCGGAAAGCUAAGGGGAAGGGCCGAUGGACGCCCUUUCAAGUGCGUAGGGUGGCGUGCAGGCAAAUCCGCACGCCGUCAGCCUGAAACAUGGACGAGCGGGAUGGCGACAUCCUGCAAGCCCCCGAUGCUCUGCCGCCUAGAAAAACCCCUAGGGAUCGAGCCGGAAUCCGUACCUAAACCGACACAGGUGGGAGGGUACCAGUAUACCAAGGCGCGCGAGAGAAACCUCGUUAAGGAACUCGGCAAUCUAGCCCCGUAACUUCGGGAGAAGGGGUCCCCCGCGAGGGGGCGCAGUGAACGGGCCCAUGCGACUGUUUAACAAAAACACAGCACUCUGCAAAAGCGCGAGCUGACGUAUAGAGUGUGACACGUGACCAAUGCGGAAAGGUCAAGGUGAGGGGUCAGCCGCAAGGCGAAGCUCCGAGCCAAAGCCCCCGUGAAUGUCGGCCGUAACUAUAACGGUCCUAAGGUAGCGAAAUUCCUUGUCGGGUAAGUUCCGACCUGCACGAAUCGUGUAACGCUGUGGGCACUGUCUCAACGAGGAUCUCGGUGAAGUUGUAAUGCCGGUGAAAAUGCCGGAUUCCCGCAGAAGGACGGAAAGACCCUGUGAACCUUUACUGUAAUCUGGUACUGGAUUCUGGUCACUUAUGUGUAGCAUAGCCGGGAGCCUUGGAAGCCCCCUCGUCAGGGGGGGCGGAGGCGCCAGUGAAAUACCGGUCUUAAGUGGGCGGACUUCUAACCGCGAGCCGUUAUCCGGCCGCGGGACAAUGCCAGAGGGUCAGUUUGACUGGGGCGGUUUCCUCCCAAACGGUAACGGAGGAGUUCGAAGGUACACUCAGCACGGUCGGCAAUCGUGCGUCGAGCGCAAGGGUAGAAGUGUGCUUAACUGCGAGAGGGACACCUCGAGCAGAUGCGAAAGCAGGACCUAGUGAUCCGGCGGUAGCUCGUGGUAGCGCCGUCGCUCAACGGAUAAAAGGUACUCCGGGGAUAACAGGCUGAUCGCUGCCGAGAGUUCACAUCGACGCAGCGGUUUGGCACCUCGAUGUCGGCUCAUCGCAUCCUGGGGCUGGAGAAGGUCCCAAGGGUUUGGCUGUUCGCCAAUUAAAGCGGUACGCGAGCUGGGUUCAGAACGUCGUGAGACAGUUCGGUCCUUAUCCUCUGCGGGCGCAGGAGAAUUGAAGGGAACAUUCCCUAGUACGAGAGGACCGGGAAUGACUGGCCUAUGGUGUUCCGGUUGUCGCGCCAGCGGCACCGCCGGGUAGCCAAGCCGGGAACGGAUAAGCGCUGAAAGCAUCUAAGCGCCAAGCCUCCCCUAAGACAAGUUCUCCCGGGCGAAAGCCCCCAAAGGCCGGUCGUAGACCACGACCUUGAUAGGGCGGACGUGCAAGCGCGGCGACGCGCUCAGCGGACCGCUACUAAUCGGCCGGGCGGUUUGGCC